rnacentral:rRNA from 1 species
GAGUUUGAUUCUGGCUCAGAUUGAACGCUGGCGGCAUGCUUUACACAUGCAAGUCGAACGGCAGCGGGGAAGUGCUUGCACUUCUGCCGGCGAGUGGCGAACGGGUGAGUAAUGCAUUGGAACGUACCGGGUAAUGGGGGAUAACUUGCCGAAAGGUAAGCUAAUACCGCAUACGCUUUAAGAAGGAAAGCGGGGGAUCAUCUGACCUCGCGUUAUCCGAGCGGCCAAUGUCUGAUUAGGUAGUUGGUGGGGUAAAAGCCUACCAAGCCGACGAUCAGUAGCGGGUCUGAGAGGAUGAUCCGCCACACUGGGACUGAGACACGGCCCAGACUCCUACGGGAGGCAGCAGUGGGGAAUUUUGGACAAUGGGCGCAAGCCUGAUCCAGCCAUGCCGCGUGUCUGAAGAAGGCCUUCGGGUUGUAAAGGACUUUUGUACGGGAAGAAAAGGUUGUGGCUAAUACCCAUGACUGA